rnacentral:rRNA from 1 species
CUACCCUUGACAUGUCUGGAAUGCCGAAGAGAUUUGGCAGUGCUCGCAAGAGAACCGGAGCACAGGUGCUGCAUGGCUGUCGUCAGCUCGUGUCGUGAGAUGUUGGGUUAAGUCCCGCAACGAGCGCAACCCUUGUCAUUAGUUGCUACGAAAGGGCACUCUAAUGAGACUGCCGGUGACAAACCGGAGGAAGGUGGGGAUGACGUCAAGUCCUCAUGGCCCUUAUGGGUAGGGCUUCACACGUCAUACAAUGGUCGGGACAGAGGGCAGCCAACCCGCGAGGGGGAGCCAAUCCCAGAAACCCGAUCGUAGUCCGGAUCGCAGUCUGCAACUCGACUGCGUGAAGUCGGAAUCGCUAGUAAUCGCGGAUCAGC